GAUGAACGCUGGCGGCGUGCUUAACACAUGCAAGUCGAACGAUGACGCCCAGCUUGCUGGGUGGAUUAGUGGCGAAGGGGUGAGUAAUACGUGAGUAACCUGCCCUUAACUCUGGGAUAAGCCUGGGACACUGGGUCUAAUACAGGAUAGGAGCGUCCACCGCAUGGUGGGUGUUGGAACGAUGUAUCGGUUUUGGAUGGACUCGCGGCUUAUCAGCUUGUUGGUGAGGUAAUGGCUCACCAAAGCGACGACGGGUAGCCGGCCUGAGAGGGUGACCGGCCACACUGGGACUGCGACAGGGCCCAGACUCCUACGGGAGACAGCGGUGGGGAAUAUUGUCCAAUGGGCGCAAGCCUGAUGCAGCGACGCCGCGUGAGUGAUGACGUCCUUCGGGUUGUAAACCUCUUUCAGUAGGGAAGAAGCGAAAGUGACGGUACCUGCAGAAGAAGCACCGGCUAACUACGUG
rnacentral:rRNA from 1 species